UUUCCACCUACCGGCAUAUUUAGGGGUUCUCAUGGGCUGGACGCCUCUGAUUUGGAGGUUCUGGUCCCAGGCUAAAGGGGGCGGACAGGGGACCCCCCUCCCCGGACCCAGGACUGUGGUACAGCCUGCUCCGCCAGCGUCACGUGGGCAGCCCCUCUGUGACGUCGGCGCCUUCGCUGUAGCAAAGCUCGGCCUCUGGAAUUCUGAGAACUAAUUUGCUAUUCGGUGACAUAAGAGGGGGGAGUGCGCUUUUGCUUUCCUGGGGUCUGGGGCUCAUUCCUCCUCUUCUUGCCCAUAAACUCAGCUCCUGGAACUAAAUCACACGGAAAGGGGAGCGAGAGAUCCGAACCGUGGGCAAAAGUCUGUUGUCUAUGCCAGGUUUAGAAGCGAGUGAGAGAGAGAGGGGGAAAAAAAACCCAAAUCACCACAGCUCUUUGCAGCUAGCAUAGUAGGCACUACGAGAAAAAUAUUUGCCAAGCAGUUUUUCUUCGAAGCCUAUCUGAAGCCGGCUUGAUGGCAGGGGAGAGCUGGAGAGCAGAAGAAUGUGCAGAGGGAGGGAGUGCUUGGUACUUUUCCAUUCACAUCUCCACAGUGGCUUUUCUUGUUUAUUUCAGCUUCCACCCGCAGGAACCUUUCUACUGCCUGAAAUUCGAGUCAUUAAACUGUUCCCUGUGGUCAGACUA